GCCUAGCUAUAACACACAAUCAAACUACAAAUUGUUCGCCAAACAACUACGAGAAAUACUUAAAACUUAAAAGACUUGCGGGUACUUCAUCCCGACCUAGAGGAGCCUGUCUAAUAACCGAUAACCCACGAUUAACCCAACCACUUCUUGCCCUACAGUCUAUAUACCGCCGUCGCCAGCUUACCUUGUAAAAGAAAUAAAGUGAGCCAAAUAGUAACACACUAAAACGACAGGUCGAGGUGUAACCUAUGAAGAGGUUAAGAUGGGCUACAUUCUCUAACAGAGAAUACGAACAACACUAUGAAAUUAAUGUUCAAAGGCGGAUUUAGCAGUAAGAUAAGAAUAGAACACCUAACUGAAAAUAACGCAAUGAAGUGCGCACACACCGCCCGUCACCCCUGCCACCAC
rnacentral:rRNA from 1 species